ensembl:lncRNA
AAAAAAUAAACGGAACGGAGAAAAAAACGAUCGACGAAAGACGGAACGGAAGUCGUGCACUACGGGCCGGGAGGAGGAGGAGGGAGGAGGGAUAAGAACUGAACUACACAACCCCGCCGUCAACAGUACACUACAACUCCGUCAGCUGGACUGCAGUCUAACCCCCCUCCCCAAGGGCGGGGGCCAUCAAGGAGGAGCCACAGACACACUACGGUCCUGAAACGACCCCCUCCACACGCCCCAACACCCCAACGUCCGCACCAUUCAAGACCGGAAGCUAAAGACUGAUCUGCACUACCUCCUCCUCCUCCCCUCCUCCCUCUCCUCCCCCUCCUCCUCCUCCUCUAUAUAGACUAUAUUUACUACACUUAGUAUUACAAGUAUUACUCCACUACAACACUACGAUCUGACCUGUCGAUCGUCCCAGGGAAACCCGACGCUCCCUGUUUCCUCUUUCCAACCGGAGCCAGCCGAUUGGCUCAGGAGAGACGGGACAGGUUGCACUAAGUAACACACAGACUAGAACCCGCCCACCUAGGGAGGGAUCAGCCAAUGAGAGCCUGGCGUGCUGAUGAACGCUGGUUUAGCGCCAUGUUACGCACAAGUGUACGCGUGCGCAUGUCUCUGUUUGUGUGUGUGUGCUAGAGUGUGUGCGCGUGUGUGCUCGUGAGUGUGAGUGUGUGUGUGUGAGUGUGUGUGUGUGUUGGACCACACUACACCCCGUUUCCUCAUGUAUCCUCAUUACCGUGACGAUGGUCUUUGGGCUUCCAAAGACUACCAGGGAAAGAAGCACAUUAGCUUGUUUCUGUAAGGUUUUUUUUAUUUCCUUGUUUUAUCGCCUCUCUGCGGGUCUCUACAUUUCACCUCAGCUGAGGCUUAGACCUCCAAUCCUCCAAAUGCAUCGUGUGAUGAACUGGACUCUUUCUUCAUCAGUAGAUCUCGUACUGCGUCUGCCCCUUGCCUCCCCUAGAGGUCUGUAGACUGCCCGGGUCCCCGAGAAGGACCCUGUAGGACUAGGGACCAGGACAUCAAUCAUUGAACCCCAACAUCCACACCUAACGUCCAGACGGCUCUAGACUCUUUCUGAAACCGCAGAACUUCGCUCGCGGCUAGUGCUCCAGGGAGCAUUUAAGAAGUCGAAGACUUUAAACCGUUUUAUUUCGGAUUUCCUGCAUACAUUUCCUUUUUUUUUAUUUAGGACUAUUAUCACGAGUAAUCGCAAUGCAUGCAUGUGUGUGUGUGUGUGUGUGUGAGGAGGAGAGGAGCUUUGCAUGAACUUAAAUCCUAGUGCUGAAUCAGAGAGAGGUGGAGGGGUGUCAGGGCAGGAAGAGAGAAUGGGGUUGUGAAGGUACUUAGGGUAUCUCGUAGAGCUAUUGACCUCUUGGGGGGGCAGUCCCUUUGAGAUGGUGACCUUUAUCAGUACUCCCGGCCACCUGACCUGACUCUCUUCCACCCUGUCUUCGUCCCGGUAGAUGUUUGUCUACGGGGAUCUUCUAAGGGUUUCAACUGCAUGUGGGUUGUUUUUUUAAUUGUUUUACAUGGUCACCAUGUCUAUACCAAUAUAUUGAGGUGCGUUUUUGUCUUUUCAAAAAGUGACUUGUUUAUUUGUCACCAUGUUAUUUCUGCCAUUAUUGUAUCUGCCUUUAUUUUUUCAUGUCAUUGUUAUUUGAAUGUACAUAGCCUAAUAAACUCUUUGGUUUUUAA